rnacentral:misc_RNA from 1 species
UGAGUUCCAUGAUCAUGAUUUUCAACUGUUUCACCAUCAUCUGGUACAAUAUCAACAACAGAUGUAGUAUUGAUUUCCUCCAUUGAUGUCUCAUUUGUAAUGCUGCAUGUCUGGGUUUCAGGUUCUUUCUCAUUUGAUUCUUCUACUGGCUCCAUUAAUGGCUUCAAAACUGUACCUGGCGGUGCAACAGCCACUACUUUGUAAGAUACAGAUUUAGAAG